rnacentral:rRNA from 1 species
ACUCCUACGGGAGGCAGCAGUCGAGAAUUUUUGACAAUGGGGGAAACCCUGAUCGAUCGACGCCGCGUGGAGGAUGAAGGUCUUCGGAUUGUAAACUUCUGUCAUUGGGGAACAAGGUGCAUACGUUAACUGCGUGUGCAUUGAUAGUACUCGAAGAGGAAGAGACGGCUAACUCUGUGCCAGCAGCCGCGGUAAUACAGAGGUCUCAAGCGUUGUUCGGAUUCAUUGGGCGUAAAGGGUGCGUAGGCGGCGCGGUAAGUCGGGUGUGAAAUCUCGGGGCUUAACUCCGAGACUGCAUUCGAUACUGCCGUGCUUGAGGACUGGAGAGGAGACUGGAAUUUACGGUGUAGCGGUGAAAUGCGUAGAGAUC